UCGCUUUGGCCUUAAUGAUCUCGACCCACUUUGUCGCUUUGGCCUUGGUGGGGUAAUCGUCGUUGCGGACGUAAAGUCGCUCUUGAUUAGGGUGGACUAUAAACAUCAGUUCUGAUAGUGAACUAGAUCCUGUCGCUUUGGCCAGGAUCCACGCAUUCUAUCGCUUUGGCCAGAAUCAGGCUCUGAUAGUGGAUGAGAAUUAUUUUGUCGCUUUGGCCUUAAUAAUCUCCUCUCAUCUUGUCUCUUUGGCCUUGAUGAUAACACAGAAAAAGUCGCUCCUGAUCAGAGUUUGAUUAUAAACAUGUAGUUCCAUUGGCCUGGAACUAGAUUCUAAUAGUGAAUCAUUCCAUUUGAUAGUGCAUGGAUAACAGAGUCAUUGUGUCGCUGUGGCCGCAAUGAUUCGAUCCCAUCUUGUCGCUUUGGCCUUGACGCGGAUCACCU
rnacentral:lncRNA from 1 species